rnacentral:rRNA from 1 species
UACGUAGGGGGCAAGCGUUGUCCGGAUUUAUUGGGCGUAAAGAGCGUGUAGGCGGCUUUACAGGUCCGUUGUGAAAACUCGAGGCUCAACCUCGAGACGCCGGUGGAAACCGUAAAGCUAGAGUCCGGAAGAGGAGAGUGGAAUUCCUGGUGUAGCGGUGAAGUGCGCAGAUAUCAGGAGGAACACCCGUGGCGAAAGCGGCUCUCUGGGACGGUACUGACGCUGAGACGCGAAAGCGUGGGGAGCGAACAGG